GAAUGGCGAAUACUGCUUCAUACUCCAAAUCAUUUCCACAUGAUGUGGAGAGGGCCCGGUCAAGCACUAUAGCAAGGUCAUAUCACCUGACUGUGGGAGCACCAGGGAGGAUGUGCCCCACAUCCCACCCCUAAAACAACAAACAUGGCCUGUUUUCCAUCUGAAUGAGCAGAUGCUGAUGUCUAUUUCUCAGCCAAAAUUGAAAAACAAACAUCCAUUUGAAAAUAUGAUGAACUACAAAGCCUAAAUAAUUUAACAAAACCACUAUUUUUUUAAACUAUAUACAGUGGUUCCUUGAUUUACUUGAAUUGUUUCCGUGACAAAGCUCAGAACUCGGUUCACUUCAAUUAAUACUAAUUAAAUUAAUUGAAAUGCCUUUAACCCCUUUCAACUGUUAUGGUCUGAGUUUUCCUUAGAUUUUUCGUAUUUUCAGUUUUGGUCACAUUAAGGUCUCGUUAUGUUUUUGGGUGUGCUUAAGCUUAUUCCUUUCUUGCCGAAGUAUUGGAAUGGGACAGGGGGUGUUGCUGACCAUUCACAGAGCUAAAUAAGGGAACACCUGAGUCCUGAUUCGACUCAUCCAUUCCUCUAGAAAAGCCUGCCACCACUUUGCCCAAAAAUUCUGUCGAGUUCAGUAGUGCUUACAUGUGUCUGCAUAGUAGUUUAUCUCCAGUGGGCUAUGUUUUUUUUUUUUUUUUUUUUCUUAAUCAGUUUUUGCUACCUGCUACCCCAGAGCUCACUGUGGUGCCUGCUACUUCCUUCUCACCCACAGAUAAGUUCUCCUGCCUUCCUUGUUUAAUUCGAUUUUUAGCUAAAAUGGUUUGUCUCCUUCAAAUAAAUUGCUAAAGGCGAUAGUUCUUUGCUUUUCAUGGGCCCGCUUGUUUUUCCAGCCAUAACAGAAUUUUCCGGCCGCAAAUGGGCCGAGCAGAGACGAUCUCUGCCCAAAGAGUUCUGGUAAUGAAAGGUCUACAGCAGUUAGCCGCAGGAGUGACUCAGCUUGGCAAUAAAUGACCACCAUCGUUGCCCAACUCACUGUCCCAGCCUCAGCAGAAAAGCCCUUGGACCUAACGAUUGCCCAUACCAUCUCCGCUACCACAGGAACCCCACAUCGCCAAACCCGCUAAGUAUCUCGGUAACUUAGGGACAUGUUCACAAUUUCUUCACCUGUGUUGUCUCGUGUUUAGCCAGCAACCAGUGACUUAUGUCAUCAACCAUGCAGUG